rnacentral:tRNA from 1 species
GCCCGGUUAGCUCAAUCGGUAGAGCGUGAGACUCUUACUCACUGUUCAUCUCAAGGUUGCGGGUUCGACCCCCGCAUCGGGCU